CCUACGGGAGGCAGCAGUGAGGAAUAUUGGACAAUGGGCGAGAGCCUGAUCCAGCCAUGCCGCGUGCAGGAAGACUGCCCUAUGGGUUGUAAACUGCUUUUAUACAGGAAGAAUAAGCCUUACGUGUAAGGUGAUGACGGUACUGUAAGAAUAAGGACCGGCUAACUCCGUGCCAGCAGCCGCGGUAAUACGGAGGGUCCGAGCGUUAUCCGGAAUUAUUGGGUUUAAAGGGUCCGUAGGCGGAUGAUUAAGUCAGGGGUGAAAGUUUGCAGCUCAACUGUAAAAUUGCCUUUGAUACUGGUCAUCUUGAGUUGUAUUGAAGUAGGCGGAAUAUGUAGUGUAGCGGUGAAAUGCAUAGAUAUUACAUAGAACACCAAUUGCGAAGGCAGCUUACUAAGUACUAACUGACGCUGAUGGACGAAAGCGUGGGUAGCGAACAG
rnacentral:rRNA from 1 species